AUGUGUGCCAGUUAUGUAAAAUCAAAAGAAAUUUUUUUUACAAUACGAAAAAAUUGGGAAAGAACCGUUCAACUUUACACUCAUUUUAGUAUAUUUAUACGGUCGCAAAUUAUUUCAGAGGUUAUGUCUGAAAGUCGGUUAAGAAAGCUAUUGGCCGAAAAACAUCAGCCUCAGUGCUGGAAACCCAAUGUAAUGCAUGCUCGGAAAAGGUCCAAUUGAAGGCACUAUCCAGUCAGGUUACUAUAUGCUCUCGUAUUAUUGCACCAACGCGUCACGCUUUUUUGAGUUAACCGCAAGAAGAUGCUUCCAAACAAGACUUGAAUGGCCCACCCUUUUUGCCGUAAGUUCAUAGUUUUAAUUUUAGUGUUUCAUUUUUCACUACUUAGAUUAAUUUUUCGAAGCACAAUCUCUCUCGAAUUUGUCGUUAUUGAAUUGUUAUAUACAGAUAAUAUAACUGCUUUUGAUAAAUAAAAAAAAAAGUUUACCGCAGUGGGAAAUUGGCAUUGUAAUCGGGUCUUUGAAGAUCAUACUUACUGAUGUCAGCAAAGGUAACUUGAGUUUUACAAUGUUCGUUGCGACAAAUUCAAAAGAUGCGCCACUCUGACGGAAGACAAACGCCUUCAACUAAAAAUAAAACAGAAAGAAUGAAAAAAAUAAAAAAAAAGUUAAGUUUCUCGUUAGCGAAAGUUUUGAAGGUCGUAGCAUUAUGCACAAAUUCACUUUGAGCUAAUGAAAAAAAAACUACACUUAAAAAUUUGUAGAACAACCAUGACCAAGUUAUUUCAUAGAUGAAUGGAUUCAAAAGCCGACGGGUGCACGCGAAAAAAAGCGUAUUUAUCUUUGAUUGCAACGUUAUGCACCACUUUUUAUGUUAUAUUUUUUAACUUGGUUUUUAAAAAGCUACACACACGGUUUUUCUGACGAAUUCCCAAGUUUUUCUUUUAAAGAAAAAGAAAAAAAGCUACACACAGUUUUUUAGAAGUUUCGAAAUUUCCAGAAUGAUUUAAAAUAAAAUAAAAAAAAUGUCGACGCGAUAUUUUCGUUUGUUCCGUUUUCUUUUUAUUAAACCAAAAUUAAUUUUAUGCUACCCAAGUUUCAGAAUCGCUGCAUCGUUUAAACAUCGUCCGAGUUUCUAAAUCGUUGCACUCAAGAUACAUAUUGACCCUUUAAUUGGGGUAAAAACCGGGCAGGGACCGUCAAAAAAAAUGACGCUUGGACCUAAUUUUGCGGUGAUUUUAGCGUCGCGCAAGCCAGGGAAGGAAGUGCGGUCGAGUGUCAAGUCAUCGUCACAGUGUGAUGCGCCCUCAAUCCAGCUAGCGUUAAUGUGCCUAUACCCGCCAUAGAGUCGUAAUGUAAGUGGGUGAGCUGGCGCCACUUUUAAUCAUUUUCCAGGUCCCGAAUUCCGAGACUCCUGUGUGACGCCGGGUCACUUUUUUGAUACAUAAUCGAUUGUUUGCGAUACUACACGGCCAUCCGAUGUAAACAAAGAAGAUAGAAAUCAUCACGUAUUCCACACCGCCAUUUUGGAUCGAACAUGUAUCGAAAAAGUGACCCGAAUUCGGCGCACACCGGGCUCGGAACUCGUCGAGCAGAUCAUGGCGCCAGCUCUCCCAUUUACAUUACGACUCUAUGUGCUCUAUGAUACCCGCAGUCGAAUAGUUAUUGCAAAUAACUCUCGCGUUGCGUUUGGUGUAAUGCGAGAAGUAUUCAUGCAGUCUUGUAGGCGCUAAUAUGCGUUCGACGCCAACCGCACUGUUUGGCGCAAUGCGUGAAGUAUUCCUGCAGUCCUGCAGGCGCUGAUAUGAGUUUGACGCCGACCGCACCGUGUAUGGCGAGAUUAUUCGAACUCGCGUUAGGAUAAUCGUGGCAUCAAACAAUGGAGCUUAGUAGGCCCAUGUUGUGUUUCGACGCCGUAUGAGCACUCCGACGGAGCCUCGUUUCUCCCGAUAAAAUAUUUUCUCUGAGAAAAUAUAGGAAAGAUCUGUAUGUUCGCUUGUUUAGAUUGAAUGGGUC
rnacentral:lncRNA from 1 species